GAUAUACAAAAAAAUGGCGAAAAUUUUGAUAAAGUUCAUGAAAAUUUUGAGAAUCAGUACCAUCGUACUAUCAAUGGUAUUGAAUAUGAUUAUGAGUCAUUAAGAAAUUUUCUUAAUUUUCCUGAUGAG